UACCCCUCACUGGUCAGCAGCUGUGACCUCUGAGACCAGCUGGCACUCUGCAGGAAAAACUGAGAAGAGCCGCUGAUGGCACCAGCAAGAAAUGAGCGCUGGGCAACAGUGCCAUGUCGUGCCCGAGGAGUUGUUGGUGACUGUUGACACGAAAGUUCUAUGGAUCUAAGGAUCUGUCCCAUAAAGAAAAGUACAACUGCAGGAAUUAGACCUUUGCAAGAAGUCUGGCAAGUUGAAAUCAUCAGCUUCUUUCAAGAACCCAUUUGCUGGGAGGCCUGAAAGUUACCUGGAGCAGAGAUGAUGAAAAUCAUAAUGAAGGAGAGGACAUCUGCUUUCAAAUGCUCCCACAACUUUUACAAGUCAUAGCCCUUUGCCACUAGAGGACAGCAAGACCUCAGGAAAAGGGGGUUGUGUGAGGAGAAGGUUCCCUUGACCAAGGAGCUGUAGGCAGCACUGGGCUCAGACUUUGUGCAGCCGUGUGGGGAGAACUAGUAUGUCAUACAGCAGAGAGUGCAUGUUUUAUGGAACCGGAAUGAACUAUAGGAGUCAUGAUUCUCUAGAUGCCUCUUCUCUUCCAGCAAGACAAAAUAAGAUGUAUUCUCUCUCCAGAUGUACUCAGCUAUACCCAGAUGAGGAUGAAAUGAACUCUUGCUUCAUUUUAGAUGCCUCAUUUUGGGAAGCACCAGAGAUCUCAAGAGUGAUCAGGUUCACCAUUCAUAACAUGGCUUUUUCUCCUUGAAGAAAGAGAGGGGGAAGAAAUAAUCCUUAUCACACUCUCUCUUCAUCGUAAUAAGUAGGCAAUUGCACCUACAGGCAGAUGAAAUCUACCAGCUGUAACUGGUACCAAUACCCAUUAAUCACAUAUCUAUGAGUCUUCAAGUGGUGGCUGUUGUCUAUCUGUGCAGAAUGCAUGUCUUGUGAGAGCAUCGCUCCCUUACAGUCAGUCCUUCAGGUUCUCUGCUGUUGUUUUUCCUCAAGUUUAGUGAUGAACAGAAUUCUGCAGCAGCAGCAAAUUAUUUCCUGAAGAAUUCAGUGGAUUGCUAGCAUAAGAUCCUAAUACAAUACUAUAAUAUUUCCUAUAAAUAAAGCGUCCAUGUCUUUCAAUGUCUACAACACCUACCAAGUGUUCUUUUUUUUGCAUCUUACAUAUCUUACAUCUUUUGAUCUGACAUCCUGAUUGCUCAUUUAACUGUAACUGACAGUAAGUUCUAACAGAUAUAUAAAUGUACUAUACCUGUUCUGUAAUUGGUAUUCCAUUACCUUAUUUGUGUGCAACAAAUCUAAUUUUAGAUAUUUGUUAUAUAUAUUCUUUCUUUUCCCCCAUGUAUUUAUAGAUAUGGUGACGUAGUUCAAAUGUUUUAGGGAAAAAGAAAAUGGGUUAGAAAUAUAAUGUGAUAUACCUGUGUCAUA